rnacentral:rRNA from 1 species
AUGGCGGAGUGCCGCAGCCUCAUCGAGUUCCUGCGCGCCUUCGAGCACCACCGCAGGGCGGCCGACUCCUCAUGCGGCGCCCGAUCCAAGCGCCUGCCCCCCUCCUCCUCCGCCCCCUCCGGACGCACCCGCAACCUCACCGCGCUCUGCGACCACUCGCCGAUGGCCCUGGUGGACGCGCUCGUGCUGCUCGCCGUGCUCGCCGCGCUGGGCUUCCUCGUGGCCCCGCACGCCAGGCUCCUCCUCCUCGAGGCGCGCGCGCUGCUGCUCCACCCGGCGGCCUCCUGCGUCUCGGCCGCGCCGCUCGCGGGGGCCGCCGCGGCCGUGGCCGGCGCCGCGCUCGGCUGGGCGCUACUGGGCCAUCACGCGCGCAAGUGCGGCAAGCCGCGCUGCAGGGGCCUCAAGAAGGCCGUCGAGUUCGACAUCCAGCUCGAGACGGAGGAGUGCGUGCGCGGCCGCCCCACCCCCGCCGCGCGAUCGGCGCUGCUCGCCGCCGCGGGCGCGCGCCCCGUCGAUCUCGGCGACGCGCACCGCGAGCUCGAGGCCGAGCUCCGCAAGAUGGCGCCGCCCAAUGGCCGCACCGUGCUCAUCUUCCGCGCGCCCUGCGGAUGCCCCAAGGGCCGCAUGGAGGUCUGGGGCGCCAAGAAGGUGCGCCGGAUCAAGAAGUAG